rnacentral:rRNA from 1 species
UACGUAGGGCGCAAGCGUUAUCCGGAAUUAUUGGGCGUAAAGAGCUCGUAGGCGGUCUGUCGCGUCUGCUGUGAAAACUCAGGGCUUAACCCUGAGCUUGCAGUGGGUACGGGCAGACUAGAGUUCGGUAGGGGAGACUGGAAUUCCUGGUGUAGCGGUGAAAUGCGCAGAUAUCAGGAGGAACACCGAUUGCGGAAGGCAGCUCGCUGGGACGUUACUGACGCUGAGACGCGAAAGCGUGGGAGCAA